rnacentral:rRNA from 1 species
UACGUAGGGGGCGAGCGUUGUCCGGAUUUAUUGGGCGUAAAGAGCUCGUAGGCGGUUCGAUAAGUCGGACGUGAAAUCUCCACGCUCAACGUGGAGGGGCCGUUCGAUACUGUCGUGACUCGAGUCCGGUAGGGGAGUGUGGAAUUCCCGGGUGUAGCGGUGAAAUGCGCAGAGAUCGGGAGGAACACCCGUAGCGAAGGCGGCACUCUGGGCCGGUACUGACGCUGAGGAGCGAAAGCGUGGGGAGCAAACAGGG